rnacentral:rRNA from 1 species
UACGUAGGGGGCGAGCGUUGUCCGGAUUCAUUGGGCGUAAAGCGCGGGCAGGCGGCCCGCUCAGUCGGCCGUGAAAGCGCCGGGCUCAACUCGGCGCGGUCGGGCGAUACUGGCGGGCUGGAGGCUGGUAGAGGGCGGUGGAAUUCCGGGUGUAGUGGUGGAAUGCGUAGAGCUCCGGAGGAACACCAGUGGCGAAGGCGGCCGCCUGGGCCAGUCCUGGACGCUGAGCCGCGAAAGCGUGGGGAGCGAUCCGGAUUGA